rnacentral:tRNA from 1 species
GCGAGGGUGGUGGAAUGGGCAUACACACAGGCCUAAGGAGCCUGGCUCUUCGGAGCGUGAGGGUUCAAAUCCCUCCCCUCGCA